AGCAGCCGCGGUAAUUCCAGCUCCAAUAGCGUAUAUUAAAGUUGUUGCAGUUAAAAAGCUCGUAGUUGAAUUUCGGGAUUGACACAUCGGUCGUGCCUUAAGGGGUAUGAACUGGUGUAGUCAAUUUCUCACCUUCUGGAGAACCGCGAUGCCCUUAAUUGGGUGUCGCGGGGAACCAGGACCUUUACUUUGAAAAAAUUAGAGUGUUUAAAGCAGGCAUUUUGCUUGAAUACAUUAGCAUGGAAUAAUAAAAUAGGACGGCAUGAUUCUAUUUUGUUGGUUUCUAGGAUCACCGUAAUGAUUAAUAGGGAUAGUUGGGGGCAUUAGUAUUCAAUUGUCAGAGGUGAAAUUCUUGGAUUUAUUGAAGACUAACUACUGCGAAAGCAUUUGCCAAGGAUGUUUUCAUUAAUCAAGAACGAAAGUUAGGGGAUCGAAGACGAUCAGAUACCGUCGUAGUCUUAACCAUAAACUAUGCCGACUAGGGAUCGGAUGAUGUUAAUUUUUAAUUGACUCAUUCGGC
rnacentral:rRNA from 1 species